UCCUUCCUCAGAGUUGAACCUUUGAGUCAUUCAUGUCUGAUUCUUCCAGUUCAGUCUGAUCCAUGAAUUCUUUGCUGCAAACGGAUCCAAGAAGCUGAUUUUCUUCUAUCAGGAUGUCAAACAGAGUCUGUCCUCCCGUCAGUCUUCCUCUGUGGACGCAUCAAACUCAGCUGUGGCUCAGAGGAAACUCUUCCUCACUACGGGGAACUCUGAGGUUGGCUUCAGCUUUUUAUGCUUAGUUAAUGUGAGAAUCACAGAAAAAUGUUGAUAUGAGUGGAAGGUUCUGCUGGGAAAUUGGCAAAGAUCAGAUUAUUGAACAGCGUGGCAGACAGUUUGUUUCAGUAAUGCCAGUUUAUUAGAAACGAGGACUGUGGGGCUGCUGGAAGUCAGGACGGCCGUUCUCUGGAGAAACCUGACAGCUGAGGUGGAGAGCAGGAUUUAUCCACAGACGCCUUCUUCCAAGCAAAUGUCCUGAACACACCUGAGCUGAGUGUUACACAGAAACUGUCUUAAAGCACGAGCCUGGAUCAGACUGGAGGACUCAGAGCUCAGGUGAUUAAAGUCUCUGAGCAAACACUGGAUGACUGACAGCUGCAGGCUGAACAUCAGGAGGUCGAGAGGCCGAAGUCUGAGCAGCUCAAAGCUCCACAAAC